AUCCUUUUCUGGUUCAUAAGUGUGAUGACUGAGUAUUCAUACUGUUGCAUGACAUAUACCUCCCUCAAACCUUAAUAUAACAAUAAAUUAACCAUCUGAUA